CCCCAAACCCUACACCCACCCCACCCCAAUCCCUCUAGCCGCCACUGCCCCACCCAUGUUUCCCCUCCACCCAUCCUCUCUCUCCUCUCCUCCUUCCUCGUCCGCGCGCGCACAUCACCUAGCGCUCGCGUGCUCGGCUCCUGGACCAGCCGCCGCCGCACCGAUGGGGCUUGUCCACCGCGGGUUUCCAUGGGGAAGGAGCAGCGACGGGGGUAGGCCCCAGGCAGCGCACACUUCAUGGGGAGGCAAGGAACUAGGAGGUGAUGGGGUCAGAUCUGGUGGUGCUGGGUCGGAGCUCGAUCCCUCGCCUCCCGAACCAGCCGUCGCCGCGCCGCUGGGGCUCGUCCGCCGUGGGUUUCCAUGGUGAAUCACCACAACCACAGCACACCUCCCUCCUUCCUCCUUGUCGCCAGAGCCGCCGCACCUCUCCUUCCUCAUUGCUUGCACCCCUGCCGCGGCGCGCAUCCCUCCCCUUUCGAUCUAAUUUCAUUCUUGUUUCACAUGUUGGUUUGGUUGGCAAGAUACGUUGCAGCGCCGACUGCAAUAGCCAGGGUUGGCAUUGGUGAUGUCUGUAGGUAUUUUCAUCCUUGCCAGUCACACAUUUCCUAGGUUAUGGGAUUGGAUCUCCCUUUUCUAAGAUUCUUAGCUGAUAAGUAUAUUGUGCGGAAAAGUCUCUACAUAAUGAUGUUGUGCACAUCCAAAUCCAAGCAAUCCGGAUACUCCAUGGGGCAAAGUUGAAGCUUUGUACAUCACUUCUCUCCUUGUUUAUUAAUGUUUCUUCAUGUUUGGCAGUGAUAUGGGGUUCCAUGUACUUGAUAGAUGCAUUCCUUAUCUUUAUGUGUUCCAUCUAUGUAUAUAUGUUUCUGCCCACAAAUGUAUUUAUGAGCUGACUCCAUUUUGUACCGCUUUUUCUGUGGCAAUUUGAAAAGGACCCUUCCAUGGUGCUCAACCACCGUUCGAUUUCGAGGGAGGAUAGGAGACCCCGACGAAAACGAGCAUCCUAGCAGCGAACCCAAGGAUGCGCGGUGAUUACGCCAGGUCCAUGCUCCAGUUCUUCUAUUGGGCUACUCCCCCAAUGGUGAAUAUCCCCUACAAAAUGGUGCUGGAUGUCCUUUUAGAAUCUUUGGGCCUGCCAGUGGCUGAGUAUCGAACCAAAGCAUGCAAGGGUGGUUUGAAGUUAUGAAGAACCCCAUUUUCGUUCAGAUAUGCACGCCUUUUUGUCAUCCAAAGUCUUUGCAUUUAGGUUUAUAUUAUUGAUUUGGGUUUAGUUGUGUAGAUCAAAACUGUAAUCUUACAUGUAGAUUGGAUAGAUUAAUUCUCACUUUGAGGACUCUAUUUUUUUCAUCGGAAUGUUUUUUCAUGUGGCCCAAGAACUUCGCUAUGAUGUUUUUCAAGUGCCUUUCCAUGUCUUCUUAUUUUGCUAAUUCAGAGUCGAGUAGAGAUAUCAUACUCCACCCUUUCUUCUGUUGUAAAUAAUUAUCCAUCCUACUUCAUUGUCUUAGUUUUUGUAUAGAUAACACUCACUAUUCCUUUGUUCUGUCAGGCGUUCGCUCAAUUCAUGUGCUUGGGAUUUUUUUGAUUGUUGGACCUCAAAGCUGAUGCAAUAGUGCACGAACUUGCCAAAAGGGUCGUUUCAGUUUUCAAGUGUCAUCAGUGAUACAUGGAUGGAUGGUGUCGUCACUGCUCCGCUGCCCCAUGUUUUGGUUGUUUUGGUCCACGGCCGAGGCAAGAAAACCAAAUCUGCACACCAUGUCAAUAUGCUUCAUGAUGAAACCACUUGCUUUCAUAUGUAUUGGACUACUGCAUCAUUGUCUUCGUCAACAGGAGGACGAAAUCAGUAGUAGCACCAACCGGCCAGUGAGGAAGGCUGCUCGGAUCUGCUGACGUGCCCACAUGCCACUUCCAUAGGGCUUUUCGGCCACUUAGAGAACUUCUGGUGGCCAUAAGCAAUCUUAGUUGCUCACUGUGAUAAUCUGAAUGUAUGCAGUUUCCCUCUUUGCAUGUGUGCUUUGGUGUCUUUCCUGGUAUAUUCUCAGUCUAUGGAAUGGUCAUAUUAGGCAUGUAGUUUAUUUUAAUUUCUGUAUAAAAGCUUGGUACCAACAUACAAAUAUGAUUAUUUUUUCAAUUUCUCA